CCUACGGGAGGCAGCAGUGGGGAAUAUUGCACAAUGGGGGCAACCCUGAUGCAGCGACGCCGCGUGAGUGAAGAAGUAAUUCGUUAUGUAAAGCUCUAUCAGCAGGGAAGCAAAUGACGGUACCUGAGUCAGAAGCCCCGGCUAACUACGUGCCAGAAGCGGCGGUAAUACGUAGGGUGCAGGCGUUAUCCGGAUUUACUGGGUGUAAAGGGAGCGUAGACGGCAGUACAAGUCUGGAGUGAAAGGCGGGGGCUCAACCCCCGGACUGCUCUUGAAACUGUACGUCUGGAGUGCAGGAGAGGUAAGGGGAAUUCCUAGUGUAGCGGUGAAAUGCUUAGAUAUUAGGAGGAACACCAGUGGCGAAGGCAGCUUACUGGACUGUAACUGACGUUGAUGCUCGAAAGCGUGGGGAGCAAACAGGAUUAGAUACCCUUGUAGUC
rnacentral:rRNA from 1 species